UACGUAGGGUGCGAGCGUUGUCCGGAAUUAUUGGGCGUAAAGAGCUCGUAGGCGGCUUGUCGCGUCGGAUGUGAAAGCCCGGGGCUUAACUCCGGGUCUGCAUUCGAUACGGGCAGGCUAGAGUUCGGUAGGGGAGAUCGGAAUUCCUGGUGUAGCGGUGGAAUGCGCAGAUAUCAGGAGGAACACCAAUGGCGAAGGCAGAUCUCUGGGCCGUAACUGACGCUGAGACACGAAAGCGUGGGUAGCAAACAGG
rnacentral:rRNA from 1 species